AAUGAAAACAGAACCCACCCGUCUUUAAAGAGCUUGCACAUUUGAAGUGGCAGAUGAGAUAACAUAACGAGCACUUAUAUUAAAAGUCAAUCCAGCGCACUGGCUGUUACCCUGCGAAGUCCCCCUGUCAUCCUGCUCCUGCACACGCUGACAGACAAUGAGGGAGACUGGAGCAUUCUCCCACUACU